GUACUGAUGAAGAGUCCUAAAAUACGACGAAAGAGCUGUCCAGUAC
rnacentral:hammerhead_ribozyme from 1 species